GCCUAAUUCUCGGAACCCCACUCAUAGCGAGGAAGCAUUUAUUAAGAUGCAUAUUUAAGAAUCCAUCUAGAGCACAGGCUAGGGUGAUCUUCAGUUUAAUGUGGCUGAAACAGUCUAGAAUACUUUGAGUUGCCAAGUCCACUUUUUGAAACAAGGUAGAUUCUUAGGUUUGCUGUGUUAAUAGGGAGGAGACCCUCUCUAAUAAUAUUAGUUGGGUUAAGCCAAGUGUGUAGGUGGGCUUUUUGUGUUUAUAAUCUGUGGGUGUAAGGGCUUUACACAAAGGGUAAGGAUCUGACUUAGAGAAGGGAUCCUGUAAGUCUAGUCCAUUUUGAUUCUUGACAUUGGUGAAUAGAAGAGUGUUCACGUUGCAGAGAGCUUGAACUGUGAGGAAAUCUGGUGGCUUCAUGGAGGUGCUGUUCUUACUAGGACUCUGAAGGUUGAGUAAAGAAUUGGGCACAUAAGACUUUUGUCUUAUGCUGGCGGGGGCACCUUUUUAUCAGCGGUUUCAGAAGCGCUGAAGGAACCCCAUCCUAAAGUCUGGGUUCCUGACUGAAUGAGGUUUCCCGUAUUGCUACUGCCUGAGCUUUGCAAAUUGGGCUUUGCUCCUCCUCCAGUCAUAAUCCCCCGAGGCUCUGGGUCUUGCCCUAGUCGCCAGGACCGGCGGCCUGAUGGCGAGACAGUGACUCCCCUGGCGCUGAAAAAUCUUAGCAGGUGGCGGGGCUGGUCCAUCAACUGUCCAUUAAGUCGAGGCUUGGCCCUCUGAGGGCUGGAAGGGGCAACCUUGCCUUACCCAUGGGGUCAACUUGGUGAAAAGGUGGGAUCUGUCCCGCCAGCUUAUCUCUGAGCUUCCCUUUCUCCCUCGGACCCUAAAGAACUCAGCUUUCCCCGAUUCCCGCCACCAUUACGGUCUCCCCCAACCCCAACCUCCGCCCCCUCCUCCCCAGUCACUUCUGAGCCCAAACCGUUCCUUGCUUCUCCAGUCGGAGUUUCCCGCGCUUUUGAGGGUGCUCUCAGCUGGUCCCUCUCCAGCCCUACUCCUACCGCGUGUUCUGCGGUUUCCUUUCAUUUUAUUAUCACUCUGGAAACCUGACGAUUAAGACGCGAAGCCAACAAAGAGUUUUCUUUCCACCUUAACCUUGCACACAAUCCUUUAACAAAUUAAUUAAUCCUAAUGAAUUAACACUUCAUUUAUUUAAACGCGCUACAGUCCA
rnacentral:lncRNA from 1 species